rnacentral:rRNA from 1 species
UGGGGAAUUUUGGACAAUGGGCGCAAGCCUGAUCCAGCCAUGCCGCGUGAGUGAAGAAGGCCUUCGGGUUGUAAAGCUCUUUCGGCGGGGACGAAACGGUUCGUGACAACACCACGGACUAAUGACGGUACCCGCAUAAGAAGCACCGGCUAACUACGUGCCAGCAGCCGCGGUAAUACGUAGGGUGCAGGCGUUAAUCGGAAUUACUGGGCGUAAAGCGUGCGCAGGCGGUUUGUUAAGACAGGUGUGAAAUCCCCGGGCUUAACCUGGGAAUUGCGCUUGUAACUGGCAGGCUAGAGUGUGGCAGAGGGGGGUGGAAUUCCACGUGUAGCAGUGAAAUGCGUAGAUAUGUGGAGGAACACCGAUGGCGAAGGCAGCCCCCUGGGUUAACACUGACGCUCAUGCACGAAAGCGUGGGGAGCAAACAGGAUUAGAUACCCAGGUAGUCCCUGAGCGGGCUGGCAAGGCGCAU